rnacentral:rRNA from 1 species
UACCAACAGAAUAAGCACCGGCUACUCCGUGCCAGCAGCCGCGGUAAUACGAAGGGUGCAAGCGUUAAUCGGAAUUACUGGGCGUAAAGCCGCGCCGUAGGUGGUUCAGCAAGUUGGAUGUGAAAUCCCCGGGCCCAACCUUGGGAACUGCAUCCAAAACUACUGAGCUAGAGUACGGUAGAGGGUGGUGGAAUUUCCUGUGUAGCGGUGA